rnacentral:ncRNA from 1 species
UAGUCUGCCAUACGCAGGAAGACCCGCUGAACUGAAGCAUCUCAUUAAGCGGAGGAAAAGAAACUAACUAGGAUUCCCUUAGUAAAGGCGAUCGAAAAGGGAACAGCCCAACGUCUUAAUCCCGCAAGGGAAAUGUAGUCGGUUCACCUAUUGCACUGGUCUAAGUCAGAUGGAAUGCUGCGCGAUUCAGAGUAAAAGCCUCGUAUGACCAACCGCAAGCUUACGAUGGACCGGGGAGAGUCGGAUACUUUGAGAGUAGUGUCUUAAGGGGGUGGUAUGUCCCAUCCAAGGCUAAAUAACGUGAGGAGACCGAUAGAUUACAAGUAGUGUGAACGAAAGAUGAAAAGAACUCUAAAACAGAGGGUGAAAAGUUCCUGAACUUGCUUAGGGUUAAGGCUAUUUAUAGUACCCGUCUUGAAACACGGAUUAGGGAGUUUAUCUGUAGUGCGAGUCUUUGCACGUUAACUGUAAAGGCGUAGAGAAAGCAACUGGCGUUUGCAUGGCUACUGAGCAUUACUGAUAGGACCCGAAAGGUGGUGAACUUUGCCUGCACAGGUUGAAGUCAGGGGAAACUCUGAUGGAGGACCGUACGGGUUAUUGAUGUGCAAAUCAUUUUUCUGAUGUAGGUAAAGGUGCGAAAGACUCAUCGAACCACCUAAUAGCUGGUUUCCUCCGAAGUUUCCCUCAGGAUAGCUGUAAUGCAUUUAGUUAAGGGGAGUAGAGAUAUGGGUAGAGGUGCAGGGAGCCUUCGGGUUCUCAACUUAUUUCCAAACUUCGAACCUCCUUGUUAGGCAUUACCUA